GAUGAACGCUGGCGGCGCGCCUAACUCAUGCAAGUCGAACGAUUAAAGCACCUUCGGGUGUGUAUAAAGUGGCGAACGGCUGAGUAACACGUGGGCAACCUGCCCCUCUCAUUGGGAUAGCCACGGGAAACCGUGGAUAAUACCGAAUACUUCGGGACUUCCGCAUGGAAGACUCGAGAAAGCUCCGGCGGAGAGGGAUGGGCCCGCGGCCUGUUAGCUUGUUGGUGGGGUAAUGGCCUACCAAGGCAAUGAUGGGUAGCUGGGUUGAGAGACCGACCAGCCAGAUUGGGACUGAGACACGGCCCAGACUCCUACGGGAGGCAGCAGUGGGGAAUCUUGCACAAUGGGCGAAAGCCUGAUGCAGCGACGCCGCGUGCGGGAUGAAGGCCUUCGGGUUGUAAACCGCUUUCAGCAGGGACGAGGCGAAAGUGACGGUACCUGCAGAAGAAGCCCCGGCUAACUACGUG
rnacentral:rRNA from 1 species